rnacentral:rRNA from 1 species
GGGUAACCUGCCCUAUGCUGGAUAAUAACCUCGGGAAACUGAGAAUAAUGAUCCAUAGUUCACUACGCCUGGAACGGUGAGUGGAUGAAAGCUCCGGCGGCAUAGGAUGGGCCUGCGGCGUAUCAGGUUGUAGGGGGUGUAACGUACCCUCUAGCCCUCUACGCGUACGGGUGUUGGGAGACAUAGCCCGGAGAUGGAUUCUGAGACACGAAUCCAGACCCUACGGGGUGCGGCAGGCGCGAAAACUUGGCAAUGCGAGAAAUCGUGACCAGGGAACUCCAAGUGCAUCGGGUAAGACCGGUGCUUUUCUUGACUCUAAAUAGGUCUUGGAAUAAGGGGUGGGUAAGGACGGUGCCAGCCGCCGCGGUAAUACCGGCGCCUCAAGUGGUAGUCGCUUUUAUUGGGCCUAAAACGUCCGUAGCCGGUCUGAUACAUUCGUGGGUAAAUCAACCAGCUCAACUGGUUGAAUUCUGCGAGGACGGUCAGACUUGGGACCGGGAGAGGUGUGGGGUACGCUCAGGGUAGGGGUAAAAUCCUGUCAUCCUGAGCGGACCACCUGUUGCGAAGGCGCCACACUAGAACGGAUCCGACGGUCAGGGACGAAGCCUAGGGGCACGAACCGGAUUAGAUACCCGGGUAGUCCUAGGUGUAAACGCUGUGGACUUGAUGUUGGGGGUGCUCCGAGCACUCUCAGUGUCGAAGCGAAGGUGAUAAGUCCACUGCCUGGGAAGUACGGUCGCAAGGCUGAAACUU